AUUGAACGCUGGCGGCAGGCCUAACACAUGCAAGUCGAACGAGUGGCGGACGGGUGAGUAAUGUCUGGGAAACUGCCCGAUGGAGGGGGAUAACUACUGGAAACGGUAGCUAAUACCGCAUACCAUCGGAUGUGCCCAGAUGGGAUUAGCUAGUAGGUGGGGUAACGGCUCACCUAGGCGACGAUCCCUAGCUGGUCUGAGAGGAUGACCAGCCACACUGGAACUGGGCAACGGUCCAGACUCAUACGGGAGGCAGCAGUGGGGAAUAUUGCACAAUGGGCGCAAUCCUGAUGCAGCCAUGCCGCGUGUAUGAAGAAGGCCGUCGGGUUGUAAAGUACUUUCAGCGGGGAGGCGUUACCCGCAGAAGAAGCACCGGCUAACUCCGUGCCAGCAGCCGCGGUAAUUC
rnacentral:rRNA from 1 species